GGCAGUUCUCAGGUGACACACCCUGGAAUCGGACUCCCUCCUCUCUGGUUUCGGGGUGCAUCACCUGAGAACCGCC
rfam:Myotis lucifugus cont2.41446, whole genome shotgun sequence.